rnacentral:rRNA from 1 species
UACGUAGGGGGCAAGCGUUGUCCGGAUUCAUUGGGCGUAAAGAGCGUGUAGGCGGCCUGAAAGGUCAGCUGUGAAAACUCGAGGCUCAACCUCGAGACGUCGGUUGAAACCAUCUGGCUAGAGUCCGGAAGAGGAGUGUGGAAUUCCUGGUGUAGCGGUGAAAUGCGUAGAUAUCAGGAGGAACACCGGUGGUGUAAACGGCUUUCUGGACCAUAACUGACGCUGAUGCACGAAAGCGUGGGUAGCAAACAGG